UAGAAACGAGUACGGCUACAAAACUAGCCAGCUUACAGCAACUAACCCUUCAGAGAAGGUGUUUACCUGUUGCCUAGCAACAGCGUUCUCAACAAUCAACUCUAGUCACGUUUACUUGCUACGGUAGACAUGACUAGCAUCGGAUGCUAAGUAUGCUGUCAUUUUAGAUGUAGAAAGUAUUUAACAAAACAAUUUCACGACAUAUGAGGUAAAUGUUGACGUUUCUGAUAUUUGUCUCUCCAUUUCAACGCCGCUCUGCCUCAACAUCGUCUGUAUAAACAGUUAACAGCUAACUAGCCAGGUUACAGAGAAGCGUCCAUAUUGACCUGCUGCCUAGCAACAGCAUCCUCCCCACUUUAACUCGUCGCAUUAACUUUCUAUGUGUUUCUGCUUAUGUGUACAGUAUAAAAUGGUGGAUAACUCACUGAAGCAUAGUUAGCAGUUGAUGCUAAGUGUAAUUUCUGACUAAUUUUAAUAAUACAAUACUUUUUUUUGUAAUGAUCCAACAAUAUAUGUGAAUGCGAGCUGAUUAUUGUUUGCUAGCUCCUAGUCAUCUCGCUUCUGCUAACGAUAUCAAGUGUUCGCUUUUAGUAACCCCGUGGGAGUGCUUUAGCUGGUUCGCAAGCUCAUAAUCAGCCUACGCUAGCUUGUUGCUUGUUUUUAGCUUCAAGUGUCAAUUGUGUAAAUUUAGAUCAUAGCUUGUGCUUUCUGAUGUUUUCCAGUUACGUAAAGUGAUCGUUAUGCUAGCUGUUCAGAUCAUUAGGAUUUUAGUCAACUUGUGCUUUAUGAUUGUUGUUUGUUAGCUUUUAGUCGUUGUAUGCUAGCUGAUUAUUAGCUUCUAAAUGUCUAUUUUCAGCUUCUUGUCGUUGCGCUAGUUGAUUCUGCUGUUUGUUAGGUUUCCCGUUUAUGCUAGCUAGCUAGGUAUGUCCUUUGUAUACUGUCCAAUGUCCUAUGGAUACUGCCAGUUUAUGCUAGCUGGUUAUGUGAGUUUAAUCUUGUUUUGUUUUUUUAUCUGAUUAUGUGCGUUUUAUUAGUUGUGAAGUGAUGAUAUAACCCAUGAUAUAAAAUUCGAUCGGUUAUAUUCAGGUUUUAAGAAAAGAUCAGAAAGGUUAAUAAGGUUAGAAGGUCAGGGUAAAAGUGUGAUUAUUUAUUUUUCUUUUUGCUGGGAUGUUUAGCUUAUAAGGCUUUCCUAUCUAGAUCGUAAAAUGGAGGGGGAAAAAAGUUACAGACUGUUACAGAGGAGGCUGAAAACAGAAUACAGUGGAGUCAAUAAGGUCUGUAAAGACAGAGUCUGAGAGAGACGAGCCAAGUCCACAUUUCACCGCCGCUGCAUGACGCUCAGUUGCUAAGAAACACACAGAGCUGCCAGCAGACACCACAGAGUGUUUCUUUAACUGACAGACUAACCACCUGUUAGCAUCAAGAUACCGAGCUGACGCUUACGACUGGUACAGAGAAGCACCAUCAGGAAUCGGGAGCAGUACAACGACGCCUGUUGGCUCGUCUUACACGCACUGGAGAUGGAGAGAGAGAGAGAGAGAGAGAGAGAGGACUGCACUGCCCCCUGUAGACUGUCGGGGGAACUGCAGGCACGCUCGUCCUCGCUGUACACACUGCGCACGGUGAAACGCUGCGUUCCACUAAAGCUCCGAACUCUGAAUUUCCGAUCUCUGAUUAGGAACAGACGAAGAGAACGCCUCCUCGACUCGGGAAGGCCUCCUCAACCCCGAGUUCAGCGCAUGCCGUCGGGUCAAGAUCUCGGCUCAGAGCGUCGACGGUAAUCGAAUGAUCACUUCGGCACUUGAAACGAGUUUAUAGUACUUUACAUCAGUGAAAAGGGGGGAGGGGCACGGUGGCAUCGCACCUACAGGGUUGGGGGUUUGAAUCCCGCCUCCGCCUUGUGUGUGUGGAGUUUUCAUGUUCUCCCCGUGCUUCAGAGGUUUCCUCUGGGUGCUCCGGUUUCCUCCCCCAGUGCAAAGACAUACGCUAAAGGUUGACUGGCAUGUCCAAAUUGUCUGUAGUGUGUGUGUGUGUGUGUGUGUGUGUGUGUGCCCUACGAUGGACUCGCACCCCAUCCAGGAUGUCCCCCACCCUGUGCCCCAUGCUCCCUGGGUUAGGCUCCAGGUUCCCCACAGCCCUGUAGGGUAAGCCGUAUAGAGAACGGACGGAUGGAUGGAAUAUCUCUCAUUGUGAGAUUAUGCUAAAACAGAAAAGUAUAAUUAUUCAGCCUACUUCUGGACCAUUUCUUUUCUCAUUUCAACCGAGGUAUUCACGGUAAAUAAACAUUUUAAAUGCGCUAUGGUUUAGAUUGGUUAAAGUGUAUACAUCUGUUUUAUUAUACAGUCAUAAUGAUAAAAUAAAAUAACAUUAAAUGCACUAGAUACAUUAAAAAAAAAAAACAACCUAGCUAGACAUUUUUCCCUUUCAGGUACUGAAAGAAAUGUAGAUGUGGCAUUAUUUGGCUAAAUUAACACAGAAUUAAUACAAUUACAACUCUCUCUCUCUCUCUCUGUGUGUGUGUGUGUGUGUGUGUGUGUGUGUGUGUGUGUGUGUGUGUGUGUGUGUGUGAGCGAGCGAGCUCCGUCUGUUCUCUCUCUAUAUUCCACUGGCUUCGUACCAAAUCCUUCAGCAACCUUAAAAACACAGCACUGCAACCCAGAGCUAUGAAAACAGGAAAUCUGAGAGAACCUUCCAGAUCUCCGGGCGACCUGAGGGUUCUACUUAGUUCUCCUUUAGUAGGCCACUAAACAGCGAGUCCUUGCUGCUGCUGCUGUCGUCGUAUUUGUCUGACGUUGAUAACCGACAGGAACACAAGAAGAAACAAGAGCACGUGUUUCAAAUAAAUCUCCUGACGUGGAAAUUCCUUUCUAAAAGACUUCUUGAUCAAUUCUGCACAGAUGCUAAA